CAAAAUCCAGGAGUAGGAGUCGGCCAUUUUCUUUCCGACUCCGCAGCCCUGCUUUAAACAGGGAGUCAAGCAAAUGGCGAUGAAAUGACUUUGAUUCCUGUCUGAUGGUGUUCUACUGGCAAGAAAGCGGUGGCAAAAAUUGGAGGUUUUGAUUGACGCUAUGAAAAUGUCAUAUAGUACAGUAACUGCACAACAGUAUAGCAACAGUUAAGCAAGUGUACAUGGUCCUUCUGUCUGUGUCAAGUGUUAUCCAGGAUGUAAAACAAAAAGAUGCCACUUUUUUU